UGUAAAUCUGACGCUGGUUAAAAGCCAUACCUAUCGUACUAUAGUCCGUAGGCCUAAUAUAUAUAGGCCUAAUGGAUACCAAGCAAGAUUAUAAAACAAUUACCUGAAAAUAUCUCCUUUGCCGAUUAUUAUCAAGCCC